rnacentral:rRNA from 1 species
GCGCAACGGGUGGUAAAGCGUAUGCAAACUAACCCAUCAAAGGGGAUAGCCCGGGGAGACCCGGAUUAAUACCGCAUAAGAUAGAUGAGUGGCAUCAAUUAUUUAUGAAACAUUUAUGGUUGAUGGAUGGGCAUGCGUAAGAUUAGCUAGUUGGUGAGGUAAAGGCUCACCAAGGCAAUGAUCUUUAGGGGUUCUGAGAGGAAGAUCCCCCACACUGGUACUGAGACAGGGACCAGACUCCUACGGGAGGCAGCAGUAGGGAAUAUUGGGCAAUGGUGGCAACACUGACCCAGCCAUGCCGCGUGCAGGAAGAAGGCCUUCUGGGUUGUAAACUGCUUUUGGAAGGGAACAAAACGGGCAUGCGUGCCAACUUGAGUGUACCUUCAGAAUAAGCACCGGCUAACUCCGUGCCAGCAGCCGCGGUAAUACGGAGGGUGCAAGCGUUGUCCGGAUUUAUUGGGUUUAAAGGGUGCGUAGGCGGCCUGUUAAGUCAGGGGUGAAAGACUGCAGCUCAACUGUAGCAGUGCCUUUGAUACUGAUGGGCUUGAGNCUAGAUGAGGCCGGCGGAGUGGGUGGUGUAGCGGUGAAAU